AAAAAAAAAAAAAAAGAAAGAAAGAAAGGAAGAAAGACUGGGGAUCUGAUGUGUAAAGCAUCCCAACCAUCCCCUCCAAAAGGAGCGAAGAGAGUUAGACAUGGAGGCGGAGGAUCAUCAGGCCAGCCUGUGCUACACAGCAAGUUCAAAGCCAGCCUGAACUACAUAGUGAGACCCUGGCUCAGAAAACCAAGAACAAAACCAAAACACCAUGAAAGCCCUCUAAGCGCGUCAUUUCCAGAGAUGCUGCAGGUGCAACAAAAGCAUCUGAACUUCGGGACAGACUCAGCACGAGCAGCGGAGGGUUAAGCUGGGGAGGGGCGGAGAACAGGAAGGCUCGGCAGGAGCUGCUGGUGUCUGUGAUCAUCUACUUUGUAAAAGUUAUGCAGCAAAUAUGUCACAAUGUUUAGAUUUGCUAAAGCUGAGAGGUAUGAGCGUAUAUAUGUAUGUAUAUAAUAGAUCUUUUGGUGGAUGUUUGAAAUGCUUUAUAAUUUUUAAAAAGUGUUAAGUGUUAGGGAUUUGGAUUCAGGCUCAGGGUCGCAACUUCUCUUCCCCAGCCACAAGCUGUGCUUUGGACAAGUUGCUUCCUCUGUCAUCUGCGACAGCCGUCACCUCCCUUUCGCCUGCACUGAACACCAUGGUGUUAACACCAGGAAACAGGCCUGGCAACCCUCCACCUCCCAGUCCCAUCUGGCACCCCAUGAGCCAGGGGCCCCUGCUCCCAGCUGCUGAGGAGAAGCGCAGCUCCUCCCUGCGGGCAGAGCCAGUAGUAGAGCGAGCAGAGCUGUGGGGCAGCCUCUAUUUCCCCGUGUGGUGCGUCUCAGGUCGUCACGGGGACGGAAGAGACAAGGUAUCUCCCAAAGUGACAGAGCCCUUGUGGUAUUUGAAAAAUCUAGUCCUAUUCCCUCCCCGUACACUUCCAGGUAAUUUAACGUUUCCCUUGGCGCCUGAAGAGUCGGAACUGUUUUUUACAAGUCACAGGAUGCCUAGCAGUCUUGGUCACUGAUGUGUAUCCAGGUGUAAAAGCAUGCGAGCACACAGUAGGUAUCGAGUGGGAGGACCAAUUUGUCAAGGUGACUUUAACGGAUUGCUGGGCACUCUAGGGAAGGGUACAAAACCUACCCCCAGAAAAUAAGACCCCGCACGGUCUCCCGCACCCUGUAAUUUGGAUCUCCAGGAAUCGCCUUUGUUGUGGGCGACCAACCACAGGCAAAGCGAGCACCUGCUUCUCCAGCCGGUCCUCGCGGAAGGACCCCAGGCUGCAGCAACCCUGGCUGCCUCUCAGAGUCCUUUAUUUUCUCGAGAGCUGGGGACCUGCAGGCGCCCUCCGCGUCCGCAGCCAGGGUCCGCCCCGGCGCUUCCCAGUCAUGGUGACGAGCGUCCCCAGUGCCCGACACCCCGACCGGGGCCAGCAGUCCUUGUCCCCUCGGGCCGGGGGUGGGGUGGGGGCUAGGGUUCCGCCUCGCCUGACACCCCCAGGCCCGCCGGGGAAGGCGCCCGAGUGGCGGCCGCGCACGCCCGGUCUCCGCGGCUUCCGUCCCGGGGCCACCUCCUCCCGCAGAGCUGGGCACGGGC
rnacentral:lncRNA from 1 species